rnacentral:rRNA from 1 species
UAGGGAAUCUUGGACAAUGGGCGAAAGCCUGAUCCAGCCAUGCCGCGUGAGUGAUGAAGGCCUUAGGGUUGUAAAGCUCUUUCGCCAGGGAAGAUAAUGACGGUACCUGGAUAAGAAGCCCCGGCUAACUUCGUGCCAGCAGCCGCGGUAAUACGAAGGGGGCUAGCGUUGUUCGGAGUUACUGGGCGUAAAGAGUGCGUAGGCGGUUUUCUAAGUUCGGUGUGAAAUCUCCCGGCUUAACUGGGAGGGUGCGCCGAGGACUGGGAAGCUGGAGUGUGGGAAAGGCAGGCGGAAUUCCUGGUGUAGCGGUGAAAUGCGUAGAUAUCAGGAGGAACACCGGCGGUGUAGACGGCCUGCUAGACCAUAACUGACGCUGAGGCACGAAAGCGUGGGUAGCAAACA